GUAACCUUUUAGGAGCUAGCCGUCGAAGGUGGGACAGAUGAUUGGGGUGAAGUCGUAACAAGGUAGCCGUAUCGGAAGGUGCGGCUGGAUCACCUCCUUUCUAAGGA
rnacentral:rRNA from 1 species